rnacentral:rRNA from 1 species
UACGGAGGGGGUUAGCGUUGUUCGGAAUUACUGGGCGUAAAGCGCACGUAGGCGGAUCAGAAAGUUGGGGGUGAAAUCCCGGGGCUCAACCCCGGAACUGCCUCCAAAACUCCUGGUCUUGAGUUCGAGAGAGGUGAGUGGAAUUCCGAGUGUAGAGGUGAAAUUCGUAGAUAUUCGGAGGAACACCAGUGGCGAAGGCGGCUCACUGGCCCGAUACGACGCGUGAGUGACGAAAGGUGUGGGGAGGCUAAACAGGAUUCGAGAUACCCGGGUAGUCC